UCCAGGUAGAAUUUAUCUUUGUAAUUAGUUACGUACAAAAUAUAAAACGAAGGGCAAAGAUACGUUGAGAGAAGUUGCAAGGAAUAAUUCUUGAUGAGAGCAACCAUCCUCUGUUGGCAUCUAUUUGUUACUGUAAUGCUUUUUUGUCCUUUUCCUACAAGAAAUAUGAGUGGAUUACUGAGCCAAAGUAGAAAACAUUAUGUUUAUAUGCAAGUAAAAUAAGGAUUAAAAUUAUCUUUAAACUGAAUUUAAAGCUCUCGUGUCAAAGUAGAGAGCAGAAAUUAUAUGCAGGUGCACUAAUACACCCUGAGGAAAAGAUGAUAUGAUGAAACUAUGUACAAUAUGAGAACAAGAAUUACAUGGUGGGAGGCAAAAGAUACCAUCUCACGUUUCAUAAGAAAUUCACACAUAAAAGUUUUAACGUAAUCAUAAAAAAUGUAAAUCAUCAUCUUUCGAGAAUAAUCAUUUAGUUAUAUUUGAUUUUGCAAAAUCACAUUAAUGCCAAGCUCAAUGUUAUCCAAAAAAGGUACAUCCGAAAGUUACCACAUUUUCACAUUGACUGACUGCACCAUAGUUCUCAAACUUAGAAUCGUAGAGUCCGUCCAUUCUCCUAGUCAAUAGCCUUAGAUUGCUACAGUAACUUACACUCUAUGCUGACUUUGAGAUAUUCAAUGUUCAUAUGCACACACAAAAGAAUGUAAUAAUCGAUCAUGAUUGAGAAACCAUAAAUCAAUCACAAAGGUUAGUUACCUGACAAUUGAAUGUUCACUCUGGCAUCACUACCCAUAACCUGAUGAGGUUCGUGUGGAGGAACAGACACUAGCGUAUAUGGAACGCUUGGAUGGUCGACAUUCGAAGAAAUUUGCGUAAUUUUUGUAUAUGGUGUCCAUUUUAGGCCCAUAACCCCAUUCCAAAGAGCUCACGACGAUUCUGAACGAACUCAUAGCUUGCCGUGAUGUAUGAUGGAUUUUGGCCGUUUAAAUUCAUUUACUAGGUCAAAAUGACAUUUAAAGUUUCUUAGUUUAUUAUUUUCAAUAUUUGUUAUUCUCGCUUUGUAGCCCAGCCCAUUAAAGGAUUGCUGCCCAGUAGGUUAUUUGUUUUUUUCAUAUUUAAGACUCUGAAACGUCUCCUAAGAUUUUUUGGUUGUUCAUGAAAUAAGAAAACGUUUGUUUCUUGAGUUCAAUCCAUUUGAGUUGAUAGUAACCUCAACCAUAAAACCAUUGCUAAAUGCAGAUUCGUUGGAGCCAACCAUAAGUCGAGAAUCUGCACGUGUAAAAUAGUCAUUGAAAACUUAUUCAUGGAUGGAAACUAUUAGG
rnacentral:lncRNA from 1 species